ensembl:lncRNA
CGGGAAAUUCCAAAUAGAAACCAACUGAAAGGCCAGACAAAGCUGGAAGGGCUUUGAAAUCUGUCCCUCUCUAACCCCGCUCCUUCGGGACCAGCCCCGGCCAGAAGGCAGGAGGACGGAGCAGGCCUGAGACGCUGGGCAGGGAGGAGGCUCGCGGGAACCUGCACGCUUCCAUUCCGGAACUGCGUCCGGGCAGACCAGGUACUAUGCAAGGCACUGGUCUUCAUCUGAAGAUUUAUCAGCAUACAAGACAGAUGUGGUCUCUUGCCUUGGAUCACACAGUUAAUGGAGGAGCUGGAACCAGAAA